GAAAAUCUUAAAGAUUUGCUGUAACUGAGCCUGCAUUUCCUUAACACAAAUCUGCUGGAGCUGAACAUUUGCUGCUGCUUCCUUUAAACUUGACCUCAAUCACGAAGGUCUUCAUCAACUCACUCAGUGCUUUCACAUGUACUUAUACCCAGCACAUGCAUUGGCUAUGACCUUGCAGAAUUUGGCAUUAGCAACCUCAAAAACUCUGGAAAAGGCUUCAUUUUCUCCAGUCUCCUGGGAGAGGAGAGGCACCAUGAAGGCAGACCCAUCCAGAGAACACCUGCGACAGGCUGAGAAAAGCAAAAUAUAAACUAGUUAAUUUGAUCUCCAAGAGUUAAGCGGUUUUAAUAUUACUGACAGUAAUAUCAGCAGUGGUGUUGGAACCCCAUGAUCUCAUGAAUCAUAGAUAGCAACUGCUUACUGGACAUUGAAGCUUUAUGGCCAGCUGCCAAAAAAAUAAAUGCACCUUAAUUUUUAAAUUGAAUUAUAAAGCCAAAAAUAUCCUAUUGCUCUAUUCCUCUUAUUUUGGUGUUUACAUGUGACUUUAUAAUUUCCUUCACUUGAAAGAUUUUAACUUUAAAGGA
ensembl:lncRNA LINC02224 long intergenic non-protein coding RNA 2224